AAGUCACGUGACUUUCAAGCUACCGGCCGUGAGAACAAAAAACAUGGCGGACAUUCUCUCAUUUUUAGUGGAAAAAUCUAUAUUUUGAGUUAGUUUCUGAAUAAAAAGAAGUUUUGAUUACAUUUCUAGCGAGAAAUAUAUACUUUAUUUUCAUAAUAUUCACUCAGUGAAUUUACAUAAUCAUCGCUUGCUCGAUUUUACACAGAUUUUUCAGAUCUCGCCAGAAUAAUGUGAAACUGAUACGUUUUGGUUGCUAUGGACACUGCCAGGGCUCGUCACAUGACGUCUUUUAAAGACUUUAUUAAAACCGCGUUCAGCUACAGGUAAAACAACAUUCAGAGGUGAUUUUAACAACGCUCCACGGCGCGUGAGAGUAAGCAUUUUAAGCGUUUUCUGAUCAUGUAGGUAAGUGCUUUUAUUAGACGUGAUGCAUGCUGGGUGGGAAAUUAUUUUUUAUCAAAGACUCGUUGAUGGUAAUUAAUAUAGAUAUGAAUAUACAUUUUGCAACCCUGUAUCACAUGAAAUACGUUCUGAGGAAACUAUUUUGCAAAUCGCAAUUACGUUACAUGCCAACAUAUAAGCAGUGCUAUUACGUUGGUCCUUAACCUAAUAUGACCCGUCGCCAUGGACACAAGGGGUCGGAUAUCUAAAGUUAAAUAUUUUUAACUUACGCGUGAAAUGGUUGAUUUUAAAAAUAUAUAUAUUCUAAGUAAACAACAACAGCCCAGGUUUAGUAAACAUUUUUUUAUUGAAACUAUAAAUAAAUAUUCUGCAUCCAUUUUAGGUGUGCCACUGUGGGUGGCUCCCGCACACCCCCGUGGCUACGCCCCUGCCGUGACCCAAAUCUCGUUCUCACAUCAUCGCGAUGUUUAUCAUCUAUUUACAAACGUAGCCAGUCGCCACAUCUUUAUUAGCCUAUCCCCUGUAUGUCAUCGAUGCGCUACUUCAAAGAUGUGAGGAAAAGAACAUACACCUGCGAGUAGUCUGUUACAUUGCCUGUGUUAUUGCCUCACAUUUGCAGAUCAAGUACAGUACCAGAUGGCUUGAUGGGUUUGGGCUCACAGACGGGGAAGGAAUGGAAAGGCUGUGGUCUUUCCUCCAAAGAUUUGCCAGAGUCACAAAGGAGAUG